rnacentral:ncRNA from 1 species
UAUUAAACGAUGACAAGAAGUAGUAAACUUUUUCCGUUUUAAAGAGAGCUGUUGAAAGGUGGAAGGCGGCAAUGGAAAUGUUGAACUCGUCUUUGAGCUGUUAAGGUGAAUAAAUUAGCUUUAACCGGUUUAAAAAACCGUUAUUUUAAUAAGAGGACAGAUUUUAUCUGCCAAUUAGAGUGGUACCGCGGACCUUUCGUCUCUAUA